UAGGAUAUGGUGUAUUUGGUAGCACGAAGAUUUUUGGAUUCUUAAGGUUAGGUUCGAUUCCUAAAAUUCUAG
rnacentral:tRNA from 1 species